UUAAAAUUCUUUUGUUAAUGGCGUCUCUGUUCGUUCUCGGCCGAAAAUGCCAAAAGUGAAAGUGUGCUUUAUUUGUGGUGUGAUUGAUAAGGAAAGUGACAAAUCCUUUUUCUGUUUACAUUUCUGUUUUACAUUUCAUUAGGAAAAUUGGAGGAAUGACAGAAAAAAAUUGCCAAACCUGGGUUGACGAGAGCAUCAAGGUUGUGCGAGGCACAUUUUGAGAAAAGUGAAAUUCAUAAAGGAACUCAAGUAGGCAACGACUUUGUUCCAGCAACAAAAAAUCGUUUGUUAACGAAAAAUGUAGUGCCCACAAAAAAUUUGGCAGAGCAAUCUUGAAUCGGACUAGAAUGGCUUUACAGCCAUGUAUCCUUAACAUUGGAUCAACAGCAGAUACGUAUAAAUGUUAAGAUGUUCUAAAAAAAUAAUAAAAACCGAAAUAUUGUGAAACCCAGGAGGACCAAGGUUACGUACUGAACCAUGUACCAAAAUACAGAAGCCACAGCCAUAGCCAACAGAACUUGUUGGAGCUAUAACGAGUUUAGUUCAUCCAGAUGCAACAAUGACUGAUGGAUGCCACAAAGAUGCUGUAAUUCCUGCUGUUUGCCCCCUAUUGCUUAUGUUGUUGCCAACAAAGAAGAGAAUGAAUCAGUUUGUGUUAACAUGACAAACGAAGAAGUUCAAUCAUCAAUUUAUACCAAUGGAUGCCAUGCAGAGGCUGUGAUCCCUGAUGCUUCACGCUAUUCUUCUUGAGCUACUGAUGUUGCAGCUGACAAAGAGAAUGAAACAGCUUGCAAUAACGUGACAAGCGAAACAGUUGAAACAUCAACAAGCAAAGCUGGAUGCUGCGGAGUAACUUUGUGAACGAGUAAGGCGCCUCGAUCUGCAAUGAAUACUAAUUCAAACUGCAAAUAAAAUACAUAUUCAUUGCUUCUCGCAAGAGGAACGUGUUCAGGAAGAUUUUGCCAGAUUCCUGCAUCAAUUGUUCAAAGAAUUGCGCAAAGGUAGCAAAAUUGCAGGAAAAAAUAAAGGAAAAGGAAAAAACCAUUAGACGAUUAAGACAACAAAAUGCACGUCUAGUUUCAUAUUUCAACGAUAUGGCCGGAAAGAUCGAACAAUUUAAGGUGGAACUAAAGAACUUGACUGAGAAGUCACUGGAAAAAACAAAUAUGUCACUUGAAACCACAAGAGCAGGAAGUAAUUAGAACAUUCAUUGUGAAGGGACGGACACAGCUUACGUCGGAGAGUGGGAAAGCUUACUCUAUGUGAUAUGGUCCUGGCUUUUUACUCCAGUGUUUACUCUGGAAGAUGAAAAGCACCUCGGUGUAUAAACAUUUGAGGAAUAGAAGCAUACUUCCUCUUCCACAUCCAGAUACAAUCAGUAAAUUUCUGA